GUGUAUAAUGUUCUUGUUGUUUACAGGAAGAUAUCCUGUCUAUAUGGAAUAAGACAGCCAGCGAUCAGGUGACGACAUCUAGAAUCCGAGACACUCUUCGACGCGUCCUGAACCUCCCUCCCAACACCAUCAUGGAGUACAAGACACACAACGACAGCCUCAAGGAUAAUUCCAGCUUCCGCAACACAAAGAUCACCCUGUGAAGCGAUGGAGGACAGAAGGAGGGAGAGACAGAAGAGCGGAGGAGAGAGGGCGAGACUCUGCCUCGGUCUCUCUCUCACUCAGAGAUUUUUCGGAGAUAGAGUAGUGUGUUUUUGCAGCUUGUCCCCGAGUUACAACAGGCCAGUGUGGGACCAACUGUGUGUUUUCUUCCAUGACAAUACAGAAAUAAAAGUGUCUUUGGUAA